rnacentral:snRNA from 1 species
UUUGUAUCUCGGUCAUUUGGCUAAGAGCAAGUGUUAUUGUUCUCAUCAGUUUAAUAUCUGGGAAAUCCAUCAUGUAUUAAAUUGUUUUUUGAAAUGAGCAGACGGAGGAUGCGUUAACUCCGCCCACCACGGAUCGACCUGGCAUGGCAGAACAUACAGGAGCAAUGCAUUCCCU